UCUAUUUUCCCACUGCCCCUAGCCCACCCUCUCCCCCUCCUCCUCCUCCUGCCUCUUCCCCUUCCCCCUCAUCUGGUUUCCCCCGCUGCCUUCUGCCGGACCCCACUCUGGGCCCUUGGCCUGGCUCUCCUCCGGCUCACGCAUUUCGCCCAGGCAGGCUCCCAUCUCUCACCAGAGGGGCCCCUCCUCACUUGGGAACCCGCAAGACCUGCUGCCUCUAUAGGCCCCCUCGGGUCCCCUGCUCCCCCUGCCCGGCCAGUCCCCCUACCCCUCCUGUCCGCCAUGUCCGCCUGUCCUCCCUCUCCACUCUUCACUCUUCCUUUGCCCCGAACCCCCCUUCUGGCCCUUCUCUGGCCUCCGGCCACUUGGGCAAACGGCUCUCCCGCCCCUACUCCCCUCCUACCCAGUCACCACCUCCCCCCAUCUCUCCUCUGUUGGGCCGGCCUGUAAACUGUCCCUGGGACUUGGAGCCCCUGCCAGUGGGGACCCGGACCUCUCAAAGCUUCAGGAGUCGGGCACCUGCUGAGCCCAGGGAGCAGAACAUGGUGGGCAGCAGCUGCAGGGAAUCCCGGGGGGUCCACAAGCGCUCCAAGAAGCCCCGAUUUCCCCAGCCCCAGGGCAGCCAGGGCUACUCCCGCUUCCCACCGGUGGCAGAAGCAAGGAAAGGCCCGGCUGGGCCAGAUAGCUCGAGAUUGGGCCACCGAAAAUCAGCACCUCACCCUAAGAAGGCGUCUCAAUCUUGAUAACUGCCUUCCUGCUUCGGGUGAAGUCAUGCUCUGAAGACACCCUGAGGCCAGUGCCCCUUCUCCAGAAUGCACAGCGUUCGCAGGCCGGGGAGCACCAUCCCUCAUGCCCAUGGCCUGAAGUUUGCAAUGAUAAGUGAAUGCAGUCUGCCAGGAAACCCCAACCAUGAGCGCUGAGUUCUACGCCAAGAGCAGGUGGUGAGAUGGCAGGGCUGGAGGACCUCGUCCGCAAGACCCUUCCUCUCUCUGUCCAUCUGCUUUCGGGGUAGGUUCUACCCUGAGUGGAACCUGUCUGGGCCCUGGUCCAGGCACUGGCCAAAAGCCAAGUAAUAAACUGCUCCCAGAGGCU